rnacentral:misc_RNA from 1 species
GAUGAAGAACGUAGCGAAAUGCGAUAAGUAGUGUGAAUUGCAGAAUUCAGUGAAUCAUCGAAUCUUUGAACGCACAUUGCGCCUUCUAGUAUUCUGGGAGGCAUGCCUGUUUGAGCGUCAAUAAACCUCUCUCAAGUAUGAUUACUUGGAUGUGAAGGUAGAGUACCUUAAACUUAAGGAGUGUUCUCCUUUGAAAUUGAUUAGCAGAUGGUAAUGUUAUUAAAUCCCUGAUGUUGUAAGAAAUAACAGUGGUUUUGUAGACUAUUAUCUAGCUUUAAAUUAUAAUUUUUAUUAUGGUUGACCUCAAAUCAGGUAAGGAUACCCGCUGAACUUAAGCAUAUCAAUAAGCGGAGGA